GACGAACGCUGGCGGCGUGCUUAACACAUGCAAGUCGAACGGAAAGGCCCUGCUUUUGUGGGGUGCUCGAGUGGCGAACGGGUGAGUAACACGUGAGUAACCUGCCCUUGACUUUGGGAUAACUUCAGGAAACUGGGGCUAAUACCGGAUAGGAGCUCCUGCUGCAUGGUGGGGGUUGGAAAGUUUCGGCGGUUGGGGAUGGACUCGCGGCUUAUCAGCUUGUUGGUGGGGUAGUGGCUUACCAAGGCUUUGACGGGUAGCCGGCCUGAGAGGGUGACCGGCCACAUGGGGACGGAGAGACGGCCCAGACUCCUACGGGAGGAGGAGGGGGGAAAUAUGGCACAAGGGGCGAAAGCCGGAGGCGGCAACGCCGCGGGCGGAAUGACGGCUUUCGGGUUGUAAACCGCUUUCGCUGGUGACGAAGCGUGGGUGACGGUAAUGGGUAAGGAAGCACCGGCUAACUACUG
rnacentral:rRNA from 1 species